GGUUUAUAUAGGGAUGGGAUAGAUUAAAAUUGGUACCAAAAUUACAUCGUCCACUCAAAGAGCAAUAGGUAUUUAUAUAAUAAAAGGCAUAUAUGUAUGGAAACCCUUCACUGGAGUACCAGAAUAUAUAAAAAUAAAAAAAACGAGGGUUAUUUGAACAUACAGAAUCUCACAAAAGUGAGUACACCCCUCACAGUUGUGUAAAUAUUUUAUAUCUUUUCAUGUGACAACAUUGAAGAAAUUACACUCUGCUACAAAAGUAGUAAGUGUAUAUCCUGUAUAACUGUGUAAAUUGCUGUCCCCUCAAAAUAACUCCACACAGCCAUUAAUGUCUUAUAUAUUAUCUAAUUCAGAAAAUAAAUGGAGGAGAAAUGGCAACUUUUCAGAGGAAGUGGAUGAGUACGUUACAUCUACAAUUAUUAGAGAAAGAUUGGUAAAUUAUUUUUUGCAAAACAAUUGAAGCCUCAAUAAGUAUGGCAAGAAGAGAGACCUUCUAUAAACGUAUAACAAGGUGGUAUAGAACACCUGUAAAUAUUCAUAAUUUUAUUCUGUCACAUAGUGAUCAGUGUUGGAGAUGUGGGGAGGAAAAGGGUGAUAUUGAGCACACAUUGUGG